UACGCCGAGCCGAAAAAGCCCGCACCAGCUGCUGCCACGUCGGUUCACAGCACGGCGACGCAGGGAAAAUACCUCUGAAGAAGAAGGACCGAAGAGUGGGUAAAAUAGCAGUCGUUCAGAGGACGCCUGCUCUUCGUUCUAUUCCAUCUGUUUUUAAGGUGGUCUCGACAGCAAUCCCUCGACGCGUCGCACGUCUAUCUCUACGGCUGGUAGUAGUAGUUCCAUCUGGAGCUGACGCCGGCGACGGUGCGGUUCUAGUCCUUCCACGAGCUCUCCUAGUCUCUCUUCCCACUCAAGUAGUAGCUGCUGUAGUUCAUGCUGCUCUUCUUCUUGGUGCACUAGCACAGCCCGGGGAAGCUGCGGCUGUUCGACCCGCUGUUCGAGACGACGUUCCGCACGUUGUAGUAGUUCCUCUAGCUCUGGCAGCUCGGCUAGUUCUUUGUCCUCGGGUUCGGAGGCGGCGGCUGCCUAUUCCACUUCGGGGGCCCGGGCCCAUUCCUACUCUGCCAGUUCCUCUUUCUCUUCGGCGGCGGCGGCGGCGGAGGCGGCCGGUUCCAGCACGUCCACGGCCACGGCCACGGCAUGGGCACAGGGAUGGGGAUGGGCAAGGGCCGCCCCGGCAGGCCGACGACGACGGUGGUCCCUGUGCCGCCGACGGUCACGAGCUGCGGCCGCGGGGUCAUGUGGUACGGCGGCAGCAUAGGCACGCCGCCGAUGUACUACCAGACGCUCCUCCUGGGCAGGCCGCGGACGUGGCAGUACACUGAGCGAUGCGAGACGGAGGUGCCGCCGCAUGGUGGCCACAAAUCACGCCGUUAAGGAGCACAUAUUCGUGGCAUGACUACGUGUACAUACUGGCUAGGGUCGCUUUUAAUACGUUAUUUUUUAGGCAUAAGGACAUUCACUUUGACACUUUGUUCGCUCCUCCUUCUGCAGUCACCGCCGUCUCGUGAUGGCGAAACAAAUACAACGUAAG
rnacentral:rRNA from 1 species